rnacentral:rRNA from 1 species
AUACGUAGGGUGCAAGCGUUAAUCGGAAUUACUGGGCGUAAAGGAUGCGUAGGUGGAUAUUUAAGUGGGAUGUGAAAUCCCCGGGCUCAAUCCGGGAACUGCAUUCCAAACUGGGUAUCUAGAGUGCAGGAGAGGAAAGCGGAAUUCCUAGUGUAGCGGUGAAAUGCGUAGAUAUUAGGAGGAACACCAGUGGCGAAGGCGGCUUUCUGGACGGUAACUGACGCUGAGGCAUGAAAGCGUGGGUAGCAAACAGGAUUAGAUCCCCUGGUAGUCCACGCCGUAAACGAUGGGUACUAGGUGUAGGAGGUAUCGACCCCUUCUGUGCCGUCGUUAACACAAUAAGUACCCCGCCUGGGGAGUACGGUCGCAAGACUAAAACUCAAAUGAAUUGACGGGG